GUUUCUUCUAUGAAAUCUAUACUUCACCCGUGGAGGCAGCAAAUCAAGACAAAGCUGGUCUCUGCAAACCCCUUGACCAUGGGGAGAGGCUCACAUUAGAUACUGCAGUUUGUUGCGGAGCUUAUUCCCAAAGGUGAGUUAAAGACCCACUCUCGGAGUGUUGGUUGUUGGAGUUUGGUGGAACCACUAAAACAUAAGGUUGAAGGAGGGCUUCUGUUACUGUG
rnacentral:lncRNA from 1 species